rnacentral:rRNA from 1 species
UGGGGAAUCUUGCGCAAUGGGCGAAAGCCUGACGCAGCCAUGCCGCGUGAAUGAUGAAGGUCUUAGGAUUGUAAAAUUCUUUCAGCGGGGACGAUAAUGACGGUACCCGCAGAAGAAGCCCCGGCUAACUUCGUGCCAGCAGCCGCGGUAAUACGAAGGGGGCUAGCGUUGCUCGGAUUUACUGGGCGUAAAGGGCGCGUAGGCGGAUUGACAAGUUGGGGGUGAAAGCCCGGGGCUCAACCUCGGAAUUGCCUUCAAAACUGUCAGUCUUGAGUUCGGGAGAGGUGAGUGGAACUCCGAGUGUAGAGGUGAAAUUCGUAGAUAUUCGGAAGAACACCAGUGGCGAAGGCGACUCACUGGCCCGAUACUGACGCUGAGGCGCGAAAGCGUGGGGAGCAAACAGGAUUAGAUACCCUGGUAGUCCACGCUGUAAACGAUGAGUGCUAGUUGUCGGCAGGCAUGCCUGUCGGUGACGCAGCUAGCGCAUUAAGCACUCCCGCCUGGGGGGAGUACGGGUCGCAAGAUUUAAAAAG